ensembl:snRNA U6 U6 spliceosomal RNA
GUGCUCGCUUCGGCAGCACAUAUACUAAAACUGGAACGAUACAGAGAAGAUUAGCGUGGCCCCUGCGCAAGGAUGACAGGCAAACUGGUGAAGCGUUCCAUAUUUUU